GAUAGACAGGCAACAAUAGUCAACUUCUUGAAAAAAUUCUCACCAUCAACUGCUUCUUGUGUUCAAAUUCUUGGGGAGACAAGCGUACAAGAUCUCCUUAAACGACCCAACAAUUCAAAUCCUUCCACUUCAUCUUCCUUGGUGCUACCUCAAAACCCUAAUAACAAACAAAGCAAAUCUGAAGCACCAAUGUCAACUAUGAUAGAUUUUGGCCAUCAAAACUUAAGCUCACUGCCAGAAAACCUAGCACCUCAAAACCCUAGUUCAACCCUCGUGCGCAGUUCAUCCACAUCCUCAUCACAAUGUCCCCAAACCAAGACCCCAAGUUAUCCCAAUUCCCAAAGCAAUCGACUGCAAACAGUAACUGUGCAAAGAAAGCCUGCAUCUAAUGGUAAGGCCGAAGACCUGGGAAAGAGAUGGCCAAAAGACGAGGUAUUAGCUUUGAUAAACCUAAGAAGCAGCUUCUAUGGCAGCAAUGAAGAUAAGGAAGCAACAGUUAAGGCUCCUCUAUGGGAGAGAAUCUCACAAGGGAUGUUGGAGUUGGGUUAUAAAAGGAGUGCAAAGAGGUGCAAAGAAAAAUGGGAGAACAUAAACAAGUACUUCAGAAAAACUAAGGAUGUUAACAAGAAAAGAUCUGUGGAUUCUAGGACAUGUCCUUACUUUCAUCAAUUAAGCACCUUGUAUAACCAAGGAACGCUCGGAGUACCCCACUCUGAGUUGCCGGAAAAACUGCCGUUGGCUGCUUCUUCGCUGGAAAAGCCGCCCUACCUGGAGCAGGCUAAUUAUUAGUUUCAAC
rnacentral:lncRNA from 1 species